rnacentral:telomerase_RNA from 1 species
AACGGGGUGGGGCCUAGGAGAUGAGUCUGCUUAUGCUUAUCUAAACCCUGAACCUUCCUGCAUAAAGGGAUUUUAAUUGUUUGGGGGUCUUUGGCCGGCGUUUCCCCCGAAAAAUAAUUAAAAAACGUCGUUGAUUAUAAGAGACUCGUCUCCAAGUAGACCCUAUUGGGUUGGGCUUGGGCUGGUUCGUUAGGAGGUUCUGUUGAAAACUAGAUUAGUUAUUCUGCGGUUAACCGUUUCCUCGCCUUCCCACCCACCCCCACAUUUUU